GACGAACGCUGGCGGCGUGCCUAAUACAUGCAAGUCGAACGCUUCUUUCCUCCCGAGUGCUUGCACUCAAUUGGAAAGAGGAGUGGCGGACGGGUGAGUAACACGUGGGUAACCUACCCAUCAGAGGGGGAUAACACUUGGAAACAGGUGCUAAUACCGCAUAACAGUUUAUGCCGCAUGGCAUAAGAGUGAAAGGCGCUUUCGGGUGUCGCUGAUGGAUGGACCCGCGGUGCAUUAGCUAGUUGGUGAGGUAACGGCUCACCAAGGCAACGAUGCAUAGCCGACCUGAGAGGGUGAUCGGCCACACUGGGGCUGAGACACGGCCCAGACUCCUACGGGAGGCAGCAGUAGGGAAUCUUCGGCAAUGGACGAAAGUCUGACCGAGCAACGCCGCGUGAGUGAAGAAGGUUUUCGGAUCGUAAAACUCUGUUGUUAGAGAAGAACAAGGACGUUAGUAACUGAACGUCCCCUGACGGUAUCUAACCAGAAAGCCACGGCUAACUACGUG
rnacentral:rRNA from 1 species